CCCUUAGAUGUUCUGGGCCGCACGCGCGCUACACUGACGAAUGCAACGAGCUUAUAACCUUGGCCGAAAGGUCUGGGUAAUCUCCAAAUUUCGUCGUGAUGGGGAUAGAUUAUUGCAAUUAUUAAUCUUCAACGAGGAAUGCCUAGUAAGCGCAAGUCAUCAGCUUGCGUUGAUUACGUCCCUGCCCUUUGUACACACCGCCCGUCGCUCCUACCGAUUGAAUGGUCCGGUAAAGCGUUCGGACCGUGGCCUUUGGACGGUUCGCCGUCUGUUGGCUGCGGGAAGUUCGUUAAACCUUAUCAUUUAGAGGAAGGAGAAGUCGUAACA
rnacentral:rRNA from 1 species